UUGAACGCUGGCGGCAGGCCUAACACAUGCAAGUCGAGCGUGAAAGUACUUCGGUAUGAGUAGAGCGGCGGACGGGUGAGUAACGCGUAGGAAUCUACCUAGUAGUGGGGGACAACUUGGGGAAACCCAAGCUAAUACCGCAUACUCCCUACGGGGGAAAGCGGGGGACCUUCGGGCCUCGUGCUAUUGGAUGAGCCUGCGUUGGAUUAGCUAGUUGGUGGGGUAAUGGCCUACCAAGGCGACGAUCCAUAGCUGGUCUGAGAGGAUGAUCAGCCACACUGGGACUGAGACACGGNNCAGACUCCUACGGGAGGCAGCAGUGGGGAAUAUUGCGCAAUGGGGGCAACCCUGACGC
rnacentral:rRNA from 1 species